AUUGAACGCUAGCGGGAUGCCUUACACAUGCAAGUCGAACGGUGUGGCGAACGGGCGAGUAAUGAAUCGGAACGUGCCCAGCCGCUGGGGAUAACUACGCGAAAGCGUAGCUAAUACCGUACACUUCUGGAGCGCCCGAUAGCGGAUUAGCUAGUUGGUGGGGUAACGGCUGACCAAGGCGACGAUCCGUAGCUGGUUUGAGAGGACGACCAGCCACACUGGAACGGAGACACGGCCCAGAAUCCUACGGGAGGCAGCAGUGGGGAAUUUUGGGCAAUGGGGGAAACCCUGAUCCAGCCAUGCCGCGUGUGCGAUGAAGGCCUUCGGGUUGUAAAGCACUUUUGGCAGGAAAGCGGUACCUGCAGAAAAAGCACCGGCUAACUACGUGCCAGCAGCCGCGGUAAUAC
rnacentral:rRNA from 1 species